AUGGAUUGCAAAGCCCUAAUCUCGCACCAUCAUCUUAACACCUCCUCGUCGUCCUCGACCGCCGCCAACAGAUCGUGGAUCCACAUGGACUCUAUGUGCGCGGACCUGCUGCACGCCAUCAUCGACGACCACCGCCUCCUACGCGCCGACCUGCUCCCGCUCUCGCUCGACGGAAUAAUCUACUGGACGGCGGGCACCGACGACGCCCCGAGGCUCUUCGCUCGCCGCUCGACGGUGCUUGACAUCGCCGGCUGUCUCGGAUACCUCGACGGCAAAAAGCGGUGGUCCUGGCCCAUGUACAACAGCUGCAAUGGCGUCGUCUUGCUGCAUGGCCAUGUGGUCAACCCCGCCACGUGGCAGUGGGCCCCGUUGCCACCUGUACCGUGCACGUGCUCGCUGCUGCCGCCAUAUGGCGUCUGCGCAUGGCACUAUGGCAACCGCUACAUCCCGUAUGAUCCCACGGUGUCACCGCAUUACAAAGUGUUGUUGAUCCCCGAUGCCUCGGAUCACGUACCAGUUAGCACGGCCGAAUGGCCACCGCCUUCCUACAUCGUCCGCGUCUUCUCUAGUCAUAGCACAUCUCCUCGUGAGGAAUUAGGAGGGAAGAUGGCGUCGCCAAUCGAAGGUCGUCUGCGCCUGGGCAGCAUCUCCACGCCGUGGGACGGAUGUUGGCCGCCGCCACCGCCGGACGCUGCGCCAUCGCGCCACAUCAGGAGAAGCGGUGUCGGAGCCGAAGGCCGCCGCCGUGCCAAGGUGUGGCGGAGAGAACUGCGCUCCGCAUGCGCGUUGGCCGUCUCUGUUGCCGGGCUGCGUGGCGGGCCGUGGUGCUCCUCCGGAGGGAGGAGCGUUGCUGCCGGGAUGUGGUCGUCGCCGCUGUAG
rnacentral:rRNA from 1 species